rnacentral:rRNA from 1 species
CCCAGACUCCUACGGGAGGCAGCAGUGGGGAAUAUUGCACAAUGGGGGAAACCCUGAUGCAGCGACGCCGCGUGAGUGAAGAAGUAUUUCGGUAUGUAAAGCUCUAUCAGCAGGGAAGAAAAUGACGGUACCUGACUAAGAAGCCCCGGCUAACUACGUGCCAGCAGCCGCGGUAAUACGUAGGGGGCAAGCGUUAUCCGGAUUUACUGGGUGUAAAGGGAGCGUAGACGGCAUGGCAAGUCAGAUGUGAAAGCCCGGGGCUCAACCCCGGGACUGCUCUUGGAACUGCGCGGCUGGAGUGCAGGAGGGGCAGGCGGAAUUCCUGGUGUAGCGGUGAAAUGCGUAGAUAUCAGGAGGAACACCGGUGGCGAAGGCGGCCUGCUGGACUGCGACUGACGUUGAGGCCCGAAAGCGUGGGGAGCAAACAGGAUUAGAUACCCCCGUA